rnacentral:rRNA from 1 species
UACGGAGGGUGCAAGCGUUAUCCGGAUUCACUGGGUUUAAAGGGUGCGUAGGCGGGUAUGUAAGUCAGUGGUGAAAUACCGGAGCUUAACUUCGGAACUGCCAUUGAUACUAUAUAUCUUGAAUAUUGUGGAGGUAAGCGGAAUAUGUCAUGUAGCGGUGAAAUGCUUAGAGAUGACAUAGAACACCGAUUGCGAAGGCAGCUUGCUACGCAAAUAUUGACGCUGAGGCACGAAAGCGUGGGGAUCAAACAGGAUUAGAUACCCUGGUAGU